ACUAAUGUGUUACUUGAUGGCAUAACAUUUAAGUCAAUUAGGAUCGAUAUACUUUGUAUAUCCACAAGGUGGCAGUAAUGCAAAAACAGUUGUAAUGAAACCGCGAAGAACAAUAAGGUUUCACGGCUUGGGCCUGCUCAUGCGCAAGACUUCAAAUUUAACUUAAAAACGUUGUUUUGGCGCCAAGCUGCUGUUUCUUUGAGAGAUCCUGCCUUUACCUGCUCCCUCCUAUACUGAUGUGGUGUAUGUGGUACUGCUGAGCUUGUAUGUGAUCUGAACCAUUGUAAAGGUUGCAGUUCAAGGGCCUGAGGUGGAAGCAGAAUUUGUGAGGAUUACUACUGCUCCACUUGUUCCAAGGCUUUUUGCACAACUUGACCAAUACACUGACCAGCUCAUAAAAGUCUUCAAGAAAAAAGGAGGCGCUGCAGGGAAGAAAAUUAGACAAACUUUGGCCCCAGCCACACAGAAGGAAACUAUUGAAAAGGGGAGGGAGUGUGUCCUCAGGGCACUACCUUUUUACCUGAAUGAAGACCCAACCAUCCUCUUCAAAGAAUAAUUGCUACAGCUACAGCUGUUCAGAGGGAGCUGGAACAAAUUACCCUUGCUAUCUUCACCAUCGAAAAAGCUGAUGUCAGCACUCCUCCAGCCGAUGUGGGUAUAACCAUCUAGGGUGUUCUGCAUGUCCUGGAAAACAUGGCUUCUGCAUGUGCACUCUUAAUGGGUGGGAUAUAUGCACUGAAUCUCAGUUAACCUCGAGACUGAAAGCUUUCUUUGAAGUACUUCAGAAGCUCUUCCUUCAUCUGUAUGUCAGCAGACUCUUGACCAACGUACAGAUACUCAAGAAUAAACUGAAUGAAUAAGCCAACCCUUAAUUUGGAUGAUGAAUGUUCUGUCAGAUGGACAGAAGUUUUUCGGAGGCUGAAUUGGAAUAAAAUGGUAAUUUGUUAAAUGACAGAUAAAAGGAAAAAUUACAUUUAAGAGAAAUUUAGAAAAUUUUGAAAAGUUUGUAAACUACUACAAUUUGAGAGAUUUUACUCUUGUGGGGGGAGGGGGGGGCUAGUAAGAGACAAUCAGAAGUAUUGAGAUUUAAAGGAUUUAAUUGAGAGAUGAUACUGCACCAGAAAUGUUGAAGGGUGGUGUGUAUAUUAGCGUUCAAGGUAUAUUGUUAUGAGGUGGAAAUACAGGGAGUGCAGAAUUAUUAGGCAAAUGAGUAUUUUGUCCACAUCAUCCUCUUCAUGCAUGUUGUCUUACUCCAAGCUGUAUAUGUCAUGGACCGGCUGUGUGGCGGGCAGGAAGUGGACCCAAACGCAGACUCACAGGAAAACAGGACUGAACUCAAAAUACAGCUUUAUUGCUGACAGUAGAUAAUAGCGAUACAAAAUAACAUGAAACUAAACUGGGAAGUACUAAGGUAACUGACUUACGAGGAAACACACGGAGGGGCACACAGUCAUGAGGGAGAACGCGACACUGACACAGGGAAACACAGGGCUAAAAUACACUGGGAAGUAACGAGGGGAAUGAGACACAGAAGGGGAGCACAGCUGGGAAAAAUCAGAACUGACGAGACGA